CUGCAACACUGUUUCACCACUAGUGAAGAUUUCCUCCUACAGGUGGGGGCCAGGGGCUUGAACCAGGGUCCUUGUGCACUGUAACAUGUGAGCUCAACCAGGGACCGAGAAAUAGAGCAAGAGAGGGGAAGCAAGAGAGAGGAAGAGAGACACCUGCAGCACUGCUUCACCACUUGUGAAGUCCCCCAGGUGGGACUGGAGGCUUGAACCUGGGUCCUUAUGCAUGGAUUUGAACUUGGGGUCUUAAAUGUGUGCAAUGCUGCUGACCAGUUUCCCGGUCCAAUUUUGUCUUUUUUAAUUUUGGAAGAGGAGGCACAGAAGAAAGCAGGAGCGACGCCACAGCACCUCUCCAUCACCCAAGGAGCCAUAAGCGCUGCUCCCACACGGGGCCAGGGACAGAACCCAGGGCCUUGUAUUCGGUCAUGCACAUGCUCCACCAGGGAACUCCAUUUCCAGCCUCAAGACCUGCCUGGUUUUAAUGGAGUUGGUUCUCCCUUAUCAAAGACACACUACAGAAUAGAUGUGCAGAGACCAGACUGUCACAUUGGCUCUGCUACUACUCCCUGAGCCCUGCACAGCUAGUCUCAUUGGGUUCCUAGCCCCUGCUCACCGCCCUGCUGGCCGGGGCAUUCUGGCGCCCGAGCGUGGGGCGAAGAAGCCUUCUGGACCUAGAAACUCAGCUGAUCGAGAGGGUAGGCCUACCCAAAUUCACUGAGUUACCGCGACCGAGGGGGUAACGCAAAGACUCGCAGAGAUCGCCACAGAACUACCCGACCGUGAGUCGCAUCUGGAGGAGAGUGUUCACAGCGGCUGAG